CAAGUGUCACCUGGCAGUUUGUUGCUCUCUGCCAGGUGAUUGGCUGAAGAGCUGUGAAAAGGUAGUGGGUGUGUGGGGUGAAGUCAGCGCUCUUCUGUGGAAGAAACCAGAGGCAAUUAAUUCACUCGGGUGUGAGUGGGUAUACUGUCGGUGAGAGACUUUUGCCGUUUUGUUUGGAUCAUUUGCUGGCUGUAUGUGCCUAUUUUUAAUGUGUCGUUGGACUUUUUUAGUGUGACCACCAAUUUUAACAGAAGAAUUGAUCAAGCCCUAGAUCGACUGCGUGCAGGGAAACUGAUCAAUAUUGUAGCUGUGCUGUCUCUGCUGUCCUUUUUCGUUCUUUUGAUUGAUUUGUAAUUUUCUUUUGGUUAGUCCGUCCAGCCGUAAAGGCGGUUAUUGAUUGAGAGUGAGUUGUCUAAGGGUGGACUAACCUCCCUUUUUUGUUUAAUUGUUUGUGCCACUUCCCUUUGUCUCCCAGAUUGCAGGCCAUGCAUAGCGCUGAUUCCCAGCUGCGCUGAGACCUGAAUUGUUUGCAGUGCGUGUCACGGUUGCAGUGUCGCUAAGCGGGGUGUGACGGGUUGCAGUGUAGUUAUAUUCGCACAGUUAGUGUGCUAAGUCUCAUGUGCAGCUGGGAUAUCAGCAGGAUGUGUUGUAAGUCCUGUCUGGAAAUAAGGGGAAUUUGUAUGUUUAAUUAAUGUAAUAAAUAAAUGAUCAAUUUA